ACCCACUUCACUUUCGGGCAGGGAGAGGGAUUUAAAUGGUAAUCUGUGGAGAUGUUCCCAUUAAUGUCCUAUGUAAGUGUGUUCCCGGUAGCCGGUGUUUGCUCUUCUGUGAAACACUUCACAGGAUAUUUGUGAGCUGGGAGCAUAGAAAGCACAUACGUCUCAGGAUGACCGUGCGAUUUUGUUCCGACUAAAAGCUUCAGGCUGGAAUAGUUUUCCGGUAGCGUUCUCGUGGGGGACAGGAGAAAGCAAACCGACGCGCUUUCAAGACGUUCUCUUGCUAGAUCCGCGCAGCCCUGCCUGCGGUACUGAUCUCUGCUCGGGCUCUUCCUCCAUUGCCCCGGUUUUCCGCGCCCAAUAAAUACCCCAGCAGGGCAGGUGCGGGCGCCAAGACCUGUAUCUUCACAAUUACAACGUUGGGUUGGACCUGAGUGAGAACUUCACGGAGCGGCGCUCUCGGCCCGGCCCUGAGCAGCUGCUGGAGGACGGGGAUUGGUAGCGGUGGCGCUUGCGGCUCGAUGCCUGUCCUCGCUUCUCCAGUGCAUGCUCCUCUGACCAGAGCCGAGCCGUAUUCCAGGGCGGCGGAGCAGCCGGAGAGCGUUCGCUUUGCGCCAAGCGACGGCUGCCACCUGCACCGUUACCAAGAGGGAAGAAACAGAGAACUGGAUCAGGGAAAGCCACAUGCACUGCCAGGAGCACCCUCCAGUGUGGGCUUCCCACGGAGCCACAGUCUCCUUUGGACAUCCCCUCCUCUGAUGUGGGGUCGUCCACAGGCUGCAGGUGAGAUCUGCUCCACUAUGGACCUUCAUGGGCUGCAUGUGAUGUCAGAUUAAACAAGUAUUCCAUUGUGUGUAGAGACACAGACAAGGCUGAAAGGAUUCUCAAGGAAGGCAUGCAACAGAAGAACCAGAUGUCUUCCUUCAAAUAUAUGAGAAUCUUUCUUUUUUCAAUAAGGAGGAAGAGAAAUAUGUAAAUGGCUGCAAGAGAAAACUGCUAGAGGAGCCUCUUAGAUCACAAAUUUGCCCAAACAAGAACAUGUAGUUAAUUGGCGAGACUAAACAAGCACUCCCAUGUCCUUGAAUAACAGAUGUCCAUAAAAGGGUAAAAUGAGGUAUUUCUCCCCAGGUGACCACCAUGACCAGCAAAGACCAUUCUUUGAAUUCACCGUGGCUGGCCGUAUCUACCCAAAUUACUACAUGCAAUGAGAACUGUGUGGGAACUUCACAAAUUAUGAUGAUUAUGUAUAUAAUGGAAUAACAGAAUCAUAGAAUAGUUAGGGUUGGAAAGGACCUUAAGAUCAUCCAGUUCCAACCCACCUGCCAUGGCCAGGGACACCUCACACUAAACCAUAUCACCCAAGGCUUCAUCCAACCUUGUCUUGAACACUGCCAGGGAUGGAGCAUUCACUACCUCCCUGGGCAACCCAUUCCAGUGCCUCACCACCCUAACAGUAAAGAAUUUCUUCCUUAGAUCCAAUCUAAACCUCUGCUGUUUAAGUUUCAACCCAUUACCCCUUGUCCUGUCACUACAGUCCCUAAUGAAUAGUCCCUCCCCAGCAUCCCUGUAGGCCCACUUCAAAUACUGGAAGGCUGCUAUGAGGUCUCCACACAGCCUUCUCUUCUCCAGGCUGAACAGCCCCAACUUUCUCGGCCUGUCUUCAUACGGGAAGUAAAUAUAUGUAAGCUGCAAACUGUCUCUUCUUGGUGUGCAUGAUAGGUGAAGUGAUUCCCCCAUGCACCUAAUACUGCA
rnacentral:lncRNA from 1 species